rnacentral:lncRNA from 1 species
AUGGUGGUGGUUGUAUCCGUGCAGAGCCUGACCGCCCAGGCAUCCAAAGUGCUGUGCUGUCCUGCCAGCCUGCAGCCCCAGCUGGCCAGGUUCUGCUGGUCAUGGUGCUGGGCCAGCAAGGUGCAAGCCCUGAGGAGGUGUUCGCCGUGUGCACUAGGUGGGGAGCUGGGAGGACGCCCCAGGCGUGCAAGCAACAGCGCCUCACACACCUGAGCCAGGAGGAGAAGGUGCUGCAGAGGAAACUAAAAGACAGAGUAGCAGCUCAGACAGCCAGAAACCGAAAGAAAGCUAAGAUGAGUGAGCUGAAACAACAAAUGGUAGAUAAGGGAGAAGAAAACAAAAUUAGCUUUUACAAGAUAAAACUCCUGGCCUCAUUUGUAGUUGAGAACCAGAAGUUAAGACAGCUCCUGGGAAUGGAUGACUGAAGAGGAAGCAGAGACCAGGGGGAAUGGAGCCAGGCCAGUGGCCUCCUCUGCUGAGUCCACAGCAGGUGCAGAACCAGUCGUUACCCCUCUAGAACAUUCCCGGUGGAUUCUCACGGUGUUGACUGUUCAGACUCUGAGUCUGAUAUCCUGUUUGACACUUUCUUCAACCUGGACCCAGUCAUGUUCCUCAGAUGUCCUUCCCCAGAGUCUGCCAGACUGGAGUAGCUCCCAUAUGCGGACUCAGAAGGACCCAAUUCCUUACUGA